GUGCCAGCAGCCGCGGUAAUACGUAGGGUGCAAGCGUUAUCCGGAAUUAUUGGGCGUAAAGAGCUCGUAGGCGGUUUGUCGCGUCUGCUGUGAAAACUGGGGGCUCAACCCCCAGCCUGCAGUGGGUACGGGCAGACUAGAGUGCGGUAGGGGAGAUUGGAAUUCCUGGUGUAGCGGUGGAAUGCGCAGAUAUCAGGAGGAACACCAAUGGCGAAGGCAGAUCUCUGGGCCGUUACUGACGCUGAGGAGCGAAAGCAUGGGGAGCGAACAGGAUUAGAUACCCUGGUAGUCCAUGCCGUAAACGUUGGGAACUAGAUGUAGGGGCCAUUCCACGGUUUCUGUGUCGCAGCUAACGCAUUAAGUUCCCCGCCUGGGGGAGUACGGCCGCAAGGCUAAAACUCAAAGGAAUUGACGG
rnacentral:rRNA from 1 species